rnacentral:rRNA from 1 species
GACGAACGCUGGCGGCGUGCUUAACACAUGCAAGUCGAACGAAAAUACCAAGCUUGCUUGGUUGAUUAGUGGCGAACGGGUGAGUAACACGUGAGUAACCUGCCCCUUACUUUCUGGAUAACUGCUCGAAAGGGUAGCUAAUACGGGAUAUUCUGGCCUUCCUGCAUGGGUUGGUUUGGAAAGGUUUUUUUCUGGUGAGGGAUGGGCUCGCGGCCUAUCAGCUUGUUGGUGGGGUGAUGGCCUACCAAGGCUUUGACGGGUAGCCGGCCUGAGAGGGUGGACGGUCACACUGGGACUGAGAUACGGCCCAGACUCCUACGGGAGGCAGCAGUGGGGAAUAUUGCACAAUGGGCGAAAGCCUGAUGCAGCGACGCCGCGUGAGGGAUGGAGGCCUUCGGGUUGUAAACCUCUUUCGCUCAUGGUCAAGCCGCAGCUUUGGGUUGUGGUGAGGGUAGUGGGUAAAGAAGCGCCGGCUAACUACGUGCCAGCAGCCGCGGUAAUACGUAGGGCGCGAGCGUUGUCCGGAAUUAUUGGGCGUAAAGGGCUUGUAGGCGGUUGGUCGCGUCUGCCGUGAAAUCCUCUGGCUUAACUGGGGGCGUGCGGUGGGUACGGGCUGACUUGAGUGCGGUAGGGGAGACUGGAACUCCUGGUGUAGCGGUGGAAUGCGCAGAUAUCAGGAAGAACACCGGUGGCGAAGGCGGGUCUCUGGGCCGCUACUGACGCUGAGGAGCGAAAGCGUGGGGAGCGAACAGG